UGGGCUGAUGUCCCUCCAACGGACCAGUAUGGCUUGAAGGGAGGUUCGGUGUGUCUGGCUGUUGCAGAACCACCUGAGGAACUUAAAGGAUUUAGCUGGAAGGUCAAUAGUACUGUAAUAGUUGAUGAUAAAGAGAUCUCUCCUAAAUACAAGGAGAAGGUGGAUUAUAACCCAGUGAACCAAACACUGUGCAUUAAGAAUCUGACGGACACAGACAGUGGAAUUUACAUUGCAAAUGCAAAGAAAAUAGAUUGGACAGAUUCAACGUCUUCAUACAGGCUUAAGGUGUUGGAAGCUGUUCCCAUUCCAGCCAUGCAGGUGACCUACUACAACUCAAGUACAGGACUUUGUAACAUCACAGUGAAUUGUUCAGGCUGGAAGUUUUCUGUCUGUGAUGGAGGUCAGUGCCCACUGUACCAGGAUUCUCUGUCAGUCUCUGAGGUCAACAUCACCGUCUCCAGUGGUAAUGGAUUCAUCCAGUGUAUCGUCAACAAUCACGUCAGUGCAGAGACCAAAUCACAACGCAUGAAGGACAUAUGUAUUGGUGAGAAGAAGGGGAUCGCUGCAGCAUCACUAGUUGGCAUCAUUGUGUUCAUUGUUACUGGUGGAUUAUUCUUAGUUGGUGUAGGAUGCAUCAUAUCAACCAGAAGAAGGCGAUCCCCUAAAGAAAUACUGCUAC